GUGCCAGCAGCCGCGGUAAUACGUAGGGUGCGAGCGUUAAUCGGAAUUACUGGGCGUAAAGCGUGCGCAGGCGGUUCGUUAAGUCAGCUGUGAAAGCCCCGGGCUCAACCUGGGAAUUGCGGUUGAAACUGGCGAACUAGAAUCUGGCAGAGGGGGGUGGAAUUCCACGUGUAGCAGUGAAAUGCGUAGAGAUGUGGAGGAACACCGAUGGCGAAGGCAGCCCCCUGGGCUGAGAUUGACGCUCAGGCACGAAAGCGUGGGGAGCAAACAGGAUUAGAAACCCUCGUAGUCC
rnacentral:rRNA from 1 species